CCCCUAGUAAUGGCGAAUGAAGCGGGAACAGCUCAAAUUUGAAAUCUCCGUCGCCUGCGACGGCGAAUUGUAGUUUCUAGAAGCACUUUCUAGGCGAUUCGGGGCCGUCCAAGUUGCUUGGAACAGCACGUCAUAGAGGGUGACAACCCCGUCUGUGGCGGAACCGGGCGUUGACGAUGUGCUUUCGACGAGUCGGGUUGUUUGGGAAUGCAGCCCAAAAUGGGUGGUAAACUCCAUCUAAAGCUAAAUACUGGCACGAGACCGAUAGCGAACAAGUACCGUGAGGGAAAGAUGAAAAGCACUUUGAAAAGAGAGUUAAAAAGUACGUGAAACCGUUAAAAGGGAAACGAAUGAGGUUAGCAAUGCGCUCUGCGAGAUUCAGCCGGUGGUUGGGCUGGGCGAGCGGUUUGCGGAUCUGAAUGGACCGCGGCCGUUCGGGUCGGUCCCUCGACCGUCGCACUUCUCACGAGCGCGCGUCAGUGUCGGUUGGAACUGGGUUUUAAAGUCGCCGGGAAGGUAGGUCAGUCCCUCCGGGGUCAGACUGUUAUAGACCGGUGUUCUUAUGGCCCGGAUCCUACCGAGGUGCCGCGGCGCGUGCCUCUUCUGGCUGGGGUCCCGUCGUUCCGGUCGGUAGUCGACUGUGGUGGACUGCGUGCAGUGCAUCGCGACUGCUGCCGGUCGCUUCGGCGGUGACCUCACACAACGCGCCCAGGACGCUGGCGGUGACAUGGCCUCAUCCGACCCGUCUUGAAACACGGACCAAGGAGUCUAACAUGUGCGCGAGUCUUUGAGUGAUCGAAACUCGCAGGCGGAAUGAAAGUGAAGGUGGCUUCGGCCGCUGAGGUGAGAACCCCUCCUUGCGGGGGGCGCAUCAUCGACCGACCUAUUCUACUCUUAGGAAGGUUGAGUAAGAGCGCAUCUGUUGGAC
rnacentral:rRNA from 1 species